rnacentral:ncRNA from 1 species
AGGCCUGAGGCGCGGUCGACCACCCGCUGAACUUAAGCAUAUCAUUAAGCGGAGGAAAAGAAAACAACCGUGAUUCCCCUAGUAGCGGCGAGCGAAGCGGGAGAAGCCCAAUCCGAAUCGGCGCAGCCGAGUUGUGGAGUAGUGAGGACGCCGGGGCGGACGUCGCGUGCACCAAAGUCUUCCUGGAAAGGAGCGCCAGAGAGGGUGAUAGCCCCGUGUACGUGCGCGCGCGCCCGCGCGACCCGGUGUCUGCGGAGUAGUACUGCUUGGGAAUGCAGUGCGAACGGCAGGUAUACCUCUGCCAAGGCUAAAUAUCAUGGGGAGACCGAUAGCGAACAAGUAGCGUGAGCGAAAGAUGAAAAGCACUUUGGAGAGAGAGUGAAACAGCACCUGAAGCUGUUGUGAGGUAAGGGAUGGAUCACUAUCCAAGGCGGCGCGACGCGCGUCUCUGCGGGGGCGCGCCCCUCGCGCCGCCACGCCUGCCGCCGCCUCCUCGACCGGAGCGCGGUGCCCCCUCGGGGUCACGCGCGCGGCUACCGGAACGGGAGCGCGAGCUACCUUCACGGCGCGCCGGACAACUGCCGGCGCGGCGCCAGGCAGGCUUCGAGAUGCCCCCCGGGGCACGAUGGGAUUCAUCCGCCCGUCUUGAAACACGGACCAAGGAGUCUAACAAGUGUGCGAGUCAUAUACCUUCACGGUAUGCGGCGCACUGAAAGGGCAGCGUGCGCAUGCACGCGUCGUGUGAGUCUCCCCGGAGACGCAACACGGGCCGAGUCGUGGCGAAGGGCCGCGACCUUGAGCUUGAGCAUAUAUGUUGGGACCCGAAAGGUGGUGACCUAUGCCUGAAUAGGAUGAAGCCGAGGGAAAC